CCCUCCUGCCGCCCCGCCCCGCCCCCCUGCACCUGCGGGUUCCCGCUCAGGGGCUCCCCUCACGGCCCCGUGGUGCGGGGCGCCUCCUGCCCCAGGCACGGAUACGUGCUUCUUACGUUCCUUCGCUAUUGGUUUGUAUUGAUAAACCCUGUAUCUAUAAACCCUGUAUCUAUAAUCUCCGAGUAUCAGCCUUCUGCCCUUCUGAGCCGUAACCCGGCUCUCUGUUUCAAAACCUGCACGUAUUCACCACCUCCUCAGUUCCUUGCUCAUAAAGAAUCACGGAAUCAUUAGGGUUGGAAGAGCCCUCCAAGAUCAUCUGGUCCAACCACCCCCUACCGCCAAUGUCACUAAACCAUGUCCCUAAGCACCACGUCCAGCCUUUCCUUGAACACCCCCAGGGACGGUGACGCCACCAGCUCCCUGGGCAACCCGUUCACCUCCGAGAAGCAAGGAAACGGCCUGAAGCCCAUCACCAAGCCGCUCAGUAAAACCCAGGACACCACACGAGAACCAGAAACACCACGGCUUUGAAAUACCCCAUUGGUCUGGUUGCUGGGCCCCGUCGGUGGCUUAAGCAAAGGCAAAGAUCAGCGCUCAGCAGCCUGAGCAAGCGCGCCUGUGGCGCUGCGACGGCUCCUCUCGAGGCGCCCGCCUCAGAGCAGAGCUGCCGCCUUGCUGGAGCUGGUUUCCUUCUUGCUCUGCGAGGGGCUGGUUCACAAGACAAUGGCUUGCACAGCUGGGUUAGACCGUGUCCUGGAUUUAAUAACAGAUAUCCUGCUCUAAGCAGAGAGUACAAGAUGCUGCUUAGGAGGUGCCAGCAGAGAGAAGAAACUGUAUUUCCCUAGGGGAUAGGGCUGGCACCGGGAAACAAGGCAAAGAAGACUCCUGACUCAGAUUCCUGAAGCAGCGUCUUAUUUAUAUAGGGACUGACCACAGUCUGUCUCAGGUCGAGUUGUAGGUCCUCCUUUGCAUUUUGCAUCCGCGGAGCUAAGUGUUCCUGCAUCACCAGUAAGCCAAAUUUAAUCUUGUGUUGUCACAAAAAUCCACAGUGCCAAAUUCUCCUCCGUUUAUUAUGAAUCUCAAGGUUUUUGAAGAUCUUUUAAUUCUGUGAUAUCUGGAGUGUUGUGAGUAAAUAGGGAGCUUAGCUCUCAUCUAAACAAAGAAAAAUAAAUUUAUAUCCCAAACAACUGGAAACA
rnacentral:lncRNA from 1 species